CCCCGGUCUCCGCACCUCUGGUCCCUGGGGCGCCGGCUGCGGCCGCAGACGGAGAAGGCGGCGGCGGAGGUACCGACUCGAGCUUGACCAGGGUCAGCGAGAUGAGCUCGGCUGUCUGAGAAGGCGGUGCAAAAUCCAGGACUGGAUUUCCCUCCCAAAUCCUGGGCUGGAUUUCCUAGAACUUGGACUCACCUACUCCAACAAUCUAGCCCCCUCCCCUAGCGCACCAAGGUUAGGGAACGCGGCUGUCGGGUGUGGCGUUUAGGGAUAAGGGUAAAAAUCCGUAUACGGAUGGACAGUCCGCAGGGAAAACGGCAUGAUUUUAGCGGUCACCGCCAAUUAUGGGGAAGUUCAAGUGAGGAAAUGAGGAGUCCUCAAAUCCCUUUCCCAGGACCCCUUGUCUCCCCCAGGUGAUUGCACGCAUUCUUUUUCCCAUCACCCAGCCGCCCUGACCACCCCACUCCACCCCCCACACGCAGUAUAUUGAUGGGGCCACGACUUGAGCUCAACUGUCCCAAAGUGAACUUGUAAAGUGUUCCCUGGGGAUGGAGACAAACAUGGAACUUAGCAGGGUAGGAAGGAGGGGGGUGUCUUAGGAGGGGAGAGAUCCGAGAACUCCAGGAGCCCAGGCCAAAAAGUGAGUCAAAGGCUCCAGCUUGAGGUGGAAGGAGAAAAAAUAUGUCUACAGAUUGACACCCCCCAUACCAAAAUGCAUCCAGUCUCCAUAGCAACCGUAGCUCCAAGAGUGCCUCAGAAUCAGCAGGGAUAAGCAGAGAGGAGAAUUGGUGUGUAUGGUGGGUGGAGGGACCUGCUGGGGUAUUGGGGGUUAAUGGAGGCACCAUCCUCGCAUCUAGUUAGCCACAUGUGGAGUAUUUAGUACCCCUGAAUAUAAGGACCCCUUCAGUUGUGGUGGGAGCCGGCCUCAUUUGGGUUCUGAUUCUGUCUCCUGAGGUUUUCCAGGUGGAGCUCUUUUAGAAGGUUAAAGAGGAGAUAGAGAGAAUGGAAAACGUCUGUCUGCUCUGUGUUCACCACCUUCUAGGGACCCUGGAAUUCAAGGCUCACUGUCCUCUAUCCUGGGGAGAAGGUUGAAGGGGUUUUCCUUUCUGUUCAGUGGGAACAGAAUCCUGACUCUUAGAGAAGGAGUGGAACAAAUCACUUAUGAAGACUGGAGUCUUCUGGGAGAUUUCAGCCUCCACCCCUCCUCACGCCCUCCUCCAGAGCUAAGCAGAACUCCUUCACUGGGACCAAACCUUUUUCCUCCCCCUCUUUUUUUUUCCUACAGGGAUGGGGCUUGGAGUUCCUCCCUAGGAGGCCCCAUAAGGCCACUCCCCCUAGGUCUGCCUUUCCUCCCACUGAGGCUGUAGGAAAGGUGUCAGCCAUUGUUCUUGGCAAAGGGUGGGGACAGGAGUUGAGAAGGACACUAGCCUCAGAAAGGCAAUGGGAAGGGGAUCAGACUGUCCCCUUAGGAUCCCAAACCAAAUGUUCCUUCCCCAAGUUAUGGUCUGGGGGCCUCUACCUUCAGAGAGGUCUGGCAGGAGGUGUCCCUGAUGGAAAGAAUGGCCUCUUGAACCACCACCACACCCCAGGUAGGCAACUAAGACUGGAGCGGCUGGGAGACCAGGCUAUGAUGAAGGAUGUAUUUCUCCCAGACACCUUUCAGGAACAACAUAGCUGGCUUUUGUUAGCUCUUUGCCACCUCAGAGGUAAAUGAGAGGAGAGUAGGCUGGAGAUGACUUUCAGUUCCACCAGUUCCUUAGUGCUGGGGCCCUGUGGAUAGAGAGAAACUGUUCCUGCUGGGGCCCCACCACAGGGCUGAAGGCUGGGGUGGGCAGGAGGAUGUGGCGGAUGGUGUUGCCAUGGCAGCACUUCCUCCCUGUGUUGUCAUCACUUGCUCUAAUGGCACUAAGGAGGUAGAGCGGAAGGUGUAUGUGUUGGGGGUGGGGAGAAGGACAGGAACAGGAGCAUGGGGAAGAGAGGGGACCGAAAAGAGUCUUAGGGACUUCUUUACACUUUGGCUAUGCAAAGCAUACAGUCUGAGCGAUAGCAUGUGCCUGAGAGCCUGGGAUUCUCUGCAUGGUGUAUUUCAGUGUGUGUGUGUUUCUCUCUACAGCUGGAGAACAAGAGGUCACCGAUCCUUUGUGGGUCCUGGGAAUGAACACAUUAUCCAGUCCCAGAACCUCCUGCCCCACACUGCUUCCUGCCCUGGACUCCCCAGGCAGGGUCCAAGUCUACCAUGGGUCUGUCACGGCCUCUCUUCCCCAUGCUCACCCACUUCUCCAUUGCCAAGAAGUUCAAUUCAGCACUGACUUGUUUUUUUAUCCCCUGGGAGAAGGAUCAGAGUUGAGGAAAGAGGAAGAACAACACCUCCCAUAUCUUUUUUCCAUCCUGUCCAAAUAUAUUCUUCCCCCGAGUUCCAGCUCCAUCUAGAGGACUAGGAAAUGGCUGGUUGGGAAGUGAUGUGUGAUACAGCAGACCUUUCUAUGCCCCUGCUGGUCCUCAAUACUCCCAGGGUGGCAGCUAACCUUUCUCUUACCUUGCACACU